ACUCUCACCACCACCAUCACCACCACCACCAUCACCACCACCACCAUCACCACCACCACCAUCAACAGCGGUCUCCUAUACACCCGCCACGGUCUUAGCGUGCGAGCUGUGGCCUCUGCGUUGCACGUGCUCUCCCCUCGCUGCCCUCGUUGCCUCCUUCUCUUCCCCUCGCUGGCCGCCUCCGCGAUGGCGACGUCGAGGGCCGCUCUCUGCGCUGUUGCGGUCGUGUGCGUGGUGCUUGCGGCUGCCUGCGCGCCUGCGCGCGCGAUAUACGUGGGCACGCCGGCUGCUGCGCUGUUCGAGGAGUUCAAGCGGACGUACCGGCGCGCGUACGGGACGCUGGCCGAAGAGCAGCAGCGGCUGGCGAACUUCGAGCGCAACCUGGAGCUGAUGCGCGAGCAUCAGGCGAGGAACCCACACGCGAGGUUCGGGAUCACGAAGUUCUUCGACCUGUCGGAGGCGGAGUUCGCCGCGCGCUACCUGAACGGCGCCGCGUACUUCGCAGCGGCGAAGCAGCACGCCGGCCAGCACUACCGCAAGGCGCGCGCGGACCUGUCGGCGGUGCCUGAUGCGGUGGACUGGCGCGAGAAGGGCGCCGUGACGCCGGUGAAGAAUCAAGGCGCGUGCGGGUCGUGCUGGGCGUUCUCGGCGGUCGGCAACAUCGAGUCGCAGUGGGCCCGUGUCGGCCACGGCUUGGUGAGCCUGUCGGAGCAGCAGCUGGUGAGCUGCGAUGACAAAGACAAUGGCUGCAACGGCGGGCUGAUGCUGCAGGCGUUCGAGUGGCUGCUGCGACACAUGUACGGGAUCGUGUUCACGGAGAAGAGCUACCCCUACACGUCCGGCAACGGUGAUGUGGCCGAGUGCUUGAACAGCAGUAAACUCGUUCCCGGCGCGCAAAUCGACGGCUACGUGAUGAUCCCGAGCAACGAAACAGUUAUGGCUGCGUGGCUUGCGGAGAAUGGCCCCAUCGCGAUUGCGGUCGACGCCAGCUCCUUCAUGUCUUACCAGAGCGGCGUGCUGACCAGCUGCGCUGGCGAUGCACUGAACCACGGCGUGCUGCUCGUCGGGUACAACAAGACCGGUGGGGUUCCGUACUGGGUGAUCAAGAACUCGUGGGGUGAGGACUGGGGCGAGAAGGGCUACGUGCGCGUGGCCAUGGGGAAGAACGCGUGCCUGCUCAGUGAAUACCCCGUGUCCGCGCAUGUGCCGCGGAGUCUCACCCCUGGCCCGGGCACGGAGAGCGAGGAGCGCGCUCCUAAACGGGUGACGGUGGAGCAGGUGAUGUGCACCGAUAUGUACUGCAGGGAGGGGUGCAAGAAGUAUCUUCUCACCGCGAACGUGUGCUACAAGAACGGGGGAGGCGGCUCCUCUAUGACGAAGUGCGGUCCGAAGAAGGUGCUGAUGUGCUCGUACUCGAACCCUCAUUGCUUUGGUCCUGGGCUGUGCCUCGAGACUCCUGAUGGCAAGUGCGCGCCGUACUUCUUGGGCUCGAUCAUGAACACCUGCCAGUACACGUAGGGGUGGAGCGUGCGUGUAGGUGUGUGUGUGUGUGUGUGUGUGUGUGUGGUGGCAGCGCCGUCGCGCGCGUGAGGGGGCCUCCUUGGGUGCGCGCGCGCUGUGGCCGCUCCGCGUGGACGCGAUAUGUGAGGCCGAGGAAGAGGAAGGCGACGCUGCCGAAGGCGCCGCGAGGUGUUGCGGAGCGUAGGGGGAAAAUGGACGAGCAGGCGCGCUGUGAAUAGGAGCUGCGGCACCACGCAACUCGUGGUGUACCGCCAAUGGCUAUUCCGCCCGCCCUCGCUUCACGCCUCGUCCCCCCUCCCCUCGCGCGCCCUCCCUUGUUAUCCCUCUCUUUCACGCACACACACGCGCACACGCGCGCCCGUUAUUCUGCCCUCGUCUGCCUCUUUAUGUGUUUUGUGUGUUUCUUUGUUUUGCUUGCUUCUUCAGCACACUUCUGUUUUCUGCCUUCAGCGAUAUCUCCCACUCCUUGUUUUCUCUUCCCCCUCGGUGAGCGCUUCGUUUGUGGUUUGACUGUGGUGCGUCUGUGCCGGAUCAUCUACCGGGCGUGCGCACCUCCCCCAUCUCCCUGCAUCGUGUGCGUGCACUGCCUUCACACCGCGCUCGCGUGCAUGUACAUGUGCGCACUGCUUGUCGGACGCCUUCCGCCCGCGUUGGCCCCCCGCUUCCGCAUCCACGGUUUGUUUAUCGGUUGUGCUUGCUUCAUCGGCUCUUCUCUGCGCGCGUGCGUGUGUGUGCGUGCGUGUGCGUGAGGCGCAACGGUCCCCAGAGCAAAGUCCGUCCAGGGAAAGACGAUGCGCACACGCACACAUGCAUAUGAGUUGUAUAUGUGUGUGUGCACCGGAUGGAGGGUGAGGGUGUGCGCGGCUGUGUGCGCGUGCCUGCGCGUGUGCAGCAUUGCCGUGGCGGCAUCGACGAAGCGCUGCAGUGGGAUGACCCUGGUGCGCUGGCGGGAGCAGUAGUGUCGCGUGUGCGUACCGAGUGAUGGACGUCAGCGGCCUUACGAGCACCGUUGCUUUUCCCCGAUUCGUGUUGGCGCGCAGCGCAUGCACCGGGAAUGUGUGACGUGCGUCGCUGCGCGCCUCGCCGUCUCCCCUGCGUGCGCGAUGCAUGGAUGCACCGCUGUUGUGUGAGGUUGUCCGCGCCUGCGUUGCCUGUGAUGACGCCCCCUCCCUCUCUUGCACUGUCCCCGUCCCCACCUGCCCUGCGCCGUGAUCGACUUCUCCCGACGCCCUCUACAG
rnacentral:misc_RNA from 1 species